ACAAGUGUAGCCGGGAGGUGAAGCCAGGGGCACGGGAAGGACUCUGGAUCCUGGGGAAGAACCGAAGGAAUACGGACAGAGCCGGGAACUCAGAUUACAGACAGGGUCUCACGAUGAGAGCUCUCAGGCAUAAUCAGAAUUAGAGAAUUCCAGAGGCGUCUGAUUUCCGACCUGCCACAGAAAACAAACACAUCUGUUGGAGCCUCGGGGUUAAUUCUGCAGUCAAGGUGUUUACUGGUGUGAAGUAUCACCACGGGCAUUUGUGAGCUAUCCCUUGGAAUCUGGAACACCAACCACACAAUUACCGUGACGCAAGGAGGAGGGAGCUGUCUCCCCGACGAACAGCGGCCAGCAUGCCUCCAAGCCCAGGGGCGGCCUGGCUGGGUGACACGCGGGCUUUCUCCAGUGUUCUGUGAGCUUCCAGGCCGGAAAGCGUGGUGGGCGUGGAUGCUCUUUAAUCAAAAGGACCUGUUCCUCAGGCCCGGGAGAAGCUUUUAACGAUCUCAGCAUCGUUUCUGAUUCUUCCUCGUGUCUCACUACUUUCCUUGCACGUAAGUGGAAAUGCGAAGCUACCGGAGACGGAGUGAACCGCGAUCUCAGGAGAAGGAACCUGCUUGACACAAACCUCCCGGCGGCUGAGCUGAGUGAACACACGCGGAGGGGCUUCUCCUCCAGGCUCCGGGUGCACAGAGACCCUCCAGGGGGUGCUGCUCAGCACUAAAUCACCUGGAGUUUUACGAGGCCCAAUAUCCUCCUGGAGAUGGAGACACGCAAACUCCAGCUCAUUUCAAACACUGACCUGCAGGGGAUUUACGACCUCCAGGAGGGAGCACUCUCUCCGAACAGCCUCUCCUAAAUGGGUUUUGAUACGUAUCCCAAAUGCUUGAAAGCCACUUGGAGAGUCGUGAAACAUGUCUUCUGAAUGUUCCAGCUACACUGAAUAGAUAUACCACAUUCACUGGCAGUUUGGUCACCGAUGGACUUCUGGCUUCAUGCCAACAUCUUGCUGAAUCCGCCACUUGCCCCCACACCAGUGUGGCAUUUUCUACCUGCUGCGCACUGUAAAACUCUGGGGAUGCUCACAACAGCCUUGUGCGGUGGGCACUGUUAUCACCACCUCUGGAUUCAGGCAAGAAAGCAGGAGAGGGCGCCAUCAGACAGGCAGCGGGGCAGUGGCAGCCGGCUCCGUGGCCCUGCUGGGAAGGAUGCUGCCAUGAGCUUCCCGUGCACGAGGCUGCUUCCCACCUUUCAGGUUGUCGCCUUUGAUGAUGUCCCAAUGCCAAGGUUACUGAAUUCCAGAGGACCAUGUUUGUGCCUCUCAUUUCCAUUGCUAAAGCACCUUCAAAGGGCUCUCUCAACGCACACCGUGCUAGUGAGGGAGUCUACCCAGGUCAACUUUAGAACAAUAACAGGGCCUAGUAUGGGCCAUAUAGAGAUUUUGACGGA